rnacentral:rRNA from 1 species
GACGUAGGGCGCGAGCGUUGUCCGGAUUUAUUGGGCGUAAAGAGCUCGUAGGCGGCUUGUCGCGUCGACUGUGAAAACCCGCGGCUCAACUGCAGGCUUGCAUUCGAUACGGGCAGGCUCGAGUUCGGUAGGGGAGACUGGAAUUCCUGGUGUAGCGGUGAAAUGCGCAGAUAUCAGGAGGAACACCGGUGGCGAAGGCGGGUCUCUGGGCCGAUACUGACGCUGAGGAGCGAAAGCGUGGGGAGCGAACAGG